AUGUAUUUGGCGAGUGCCACGAGGCCUGACAUCUCUUUUGCUGCGAGCAAGCUGAGUCAAUUGGUGUCAAAACUGGGAGAUGAUCAUUGGCAUGCGCUUGAGAGAGUUAUGCGCUAUUUGAAAGGCACCGUGAGCUAUGGGAUUCACUACGCCGAGUAUCCAAGGGUACUAGAGGGUUAUAGUGACUCAAACUGGAUAUCUGAUGCUGAUGAGAUUAAGGCCACAAGUGGUUAUGUUUUUACACUUGGUGGUGGCGCUGUUUCCUGGAAGGCUUGCAAGCAGACCAUCUUAACGAGGUCAACUAUGGAAGCAGAACUCACAGCAUUAGACACUACCACUGUUGAAGCAGAGUGGCUUCGUGAACUCUUGAUGUACUUACCUAUGGUUGAAAAACCAAUACCCCCUAUCCUGAUGAACUGUGAUGAUCAAACUGUGAUCGUCAAGAUAAACAGUUCGAAGGACAAUAUGAAGUCCUCGAGACAUGUGAAGAGGAGACUAAAACCUGUCAGAAAAUUGAGGAACUCUAGAGUUAUUACGUUGGAUUAUAUCCAAACGUUGAAAAACUUGGAAGAUCCCUUCACAAAGGGUCUAUCACAUAAUGUGAUAGAUAAUGCAUCGAUGGAGAUGGGUUUGAGACCCACC
rnacentral:rRNA from 1 species